GAUGAACGCUGGCGGCGUGCCUAAUACAUGCAAGUCGAGCGAACGGACGAGAAGCUUGCGGCGCGGAUGUGAGCGGCGGACGGGUGAGUAACACGUGUAUAACCCACCUGUAAGACUGAGAUAAUUUCGGGAAAGCGGCGCUAAUACGAGAUGAGAUUCUGAACCGCAUGGUUCAAAAGUGAGAGACGGUCUUGCGGGAACUUAUAGAGGGAUCCGCGCUGCAUUAGCUAGUUGGUAAGGUAACGGCUUACCAAGGCAACGAUGCAUAGCCGAACUGAGAGGGUGAUCGGCCGCACUAGAACUGGGACACGGUCCAUACUACUACGGGACGCAGCAGUAGGGAAUGUUCCGCAGUGGGCGAAAGCCUGACGGAGCAACGCCGCGUGAGUGAUGAAGGUCUUCGGAUCGUAAAGAUGUGUUAUUAGGGAAGAACAUAUGUGUAAGUAAAUGUGCACAUCUUGACGGUACCUAAUCAGAAAGCCACGGCUAACUACGUG
rnacentral:rRNA from 1 species